rnacentral:rRNA from 1 species
UGAAUACGAGACGCUAAGGCGUCGAAGUAGUGUAUGUCAUACUUCCAAGAAAAGCUUGCACUGUCAUAGAUAAAAAACGCCUGUACCAUAACCGACACAGGUGGGUAGGUAGAGUAUACUAAGGGGCGCGAGAUAACUCUCUCUAAGGAACUCGGCAAAAUAACUCCGUAACUUCGGGAAAAGGAGUGCCUUAUUCGUAAGGUUGCAAUAACAAGAUCCAAGCAACUGUUUAUCAAAAACACAGGUCUCCGCUAAGUCGUAAGACGAUGUAUGGGGGCUGACGCCUGCCCAGUGCCAGAAGGUUAAAGAAGUUGGUUAGCAAUUGCGAGGCUGAUAACUGAAGCCCUGGUGAACGGCGGCCGUAACAAUAACGGUCCUAAGGUAGCGAAAUUCCUUGUCGGGUAAGUUCCAACCCGCACGAAAGGCGUAAUGAUUUGGAUACUGUCUCGGAGAGGGGCUCGGUGAAAUAGACUUGUCUGUGAAGAUGCGGACUACCUGCACCAGGACAGAAAGACCCUAUGAAGCUUUACUGUACUUGAAAUUGAAAUUGGACUUUAUUCGCGCAGUAUAGGUGGGAGGCGUUGAUUAUAAUCUUGCGGGAUUAUUGGAGCCAUCAGUGAGAUACCACUCUUGUAAUGUUAGAUUUCUAACUUUGAGUCAUUAUCUGGUCAAAGAACAGUUUCAGGCGGGCAGUUUGACUGGGGCGGUCGCCUCCUAAACGGUAACGGAGGCGUACAAAGGUUUCCUCUGAACGGUUAGAAAUCGUAUCUGGAGUGUAAAGGCAUAAGGAAGCUUGACUGUGAGACCUACAAGUCGAGCAGGGACGAAGGUCGGUCUUAGUGAUCUGACGGUACUGAGUGGAAAGGCCGUCACUCAACGGAUAAAAGUUACUCUAGGAUAACAGGCUGAUCUCCCCCAAGAGUUCACAUCGACGGGGAGGUUUGGCACCUCGAUGUCGGCUCAUCGCAUCCUGGGGCGGUAGUACGUCCCAAGGGUCGGGCUGUUCGCCCAUGAAAGCGGUACGCGAGCUGGGUUCAGAACGUCGUGAGACAGUUCGGUCCAUAUCCGGUGUAGGCGUUAGAAUAUUGAGAGGAGCCUUCUUUAGUACGAGAGGACCGAGAAGGACAUACCUCUGGUGUACCAGUUAUCGUGCCAACGGUAAACGCUGGGUAGCUAUGUAUGGAGUGGAUAACCGCUGAAAGCAUCUAAGUGGGAAGCCCACCUCAAGAUAAGUAUUCUCAUC